CAGCAGCCGCGGUAAUACGGAGGGUGCAAGCGUUAAUCGGAAUUACUGGGCGUAAAGCGCACGCAGGCGGUCUGACAAGUCAGAUGUGAAAUCCCCGGGCUUAACCUGGGAACUGCAUUUGAAACUGUCAGGCUGGAGUCUUGUAGAGGGGGGUGGAAUUCCAGGUGUAGCGGUGAAAUGCGUAGAGAUCUGGAGGAAUACCGGUGGCGAAGGCGGCCCCCUGGACAAAGACUGACGCUCAGGUGCGAAAGCGUGGGGAGCAUACAGGAUUAGAUACCCCAGUAGUCCCUGUCUCUUAUAC
rnacentral:rRNA from 1 species